rnacentral:rRNA from 1 species
GGUGGAGUGAUUUGUCUGGUUAAUUCCGAUAACGAACGAGACUCUAGCCUGCUAACUAGUUCGCCGGCAGCUCGUUGUCGCGCGGCGCCGUUUCGGCGGCAAACUUCUUAGAGGGACAGGUGGCGUUUAGCCACACGAAGUAGAGCAAUAACAGGUCUGUGAUGCCCUUAGAUGUCCGGGCCCGCACGCGCGCUACACUGAAAGAAUCAACGUGGAUACCCACCUGCUCCGAGAGGAGUGGGAAACCCGAUGAAUCUCUUUCGUGAUGGGGAUUGGGGCUUGUAAUUGUUCCCCAUGAACGAGGAAUCCCAGUAAGCGUCAUCA